rnacentral:rRNA from 1 species
AGCAGCCGCGGUAAUUCCAGCUCCAAUAGCGUAUAUUAAAGUUGUUGCAGUUAAAAAGCUCGUAGUUGAAUUUCGGGGUUAGUAGGUUGGUCAUGCCUCUGGUAUGCACUGGCCUCACUGAUUCCUCCUUCCUGAUGAGCCGUAAUGCCAUUAAUUUGGUGUUGCGGGGAAUUUGGACUGUUACUUUGAAAAAAUUAGAGUGUUUAAAGCAAGCUAACGCUUGAAUACAUUAGCAUGGAAUAAUGAAAUAGGACGUUCGAUCCUAUUUUGUUGGUUUCUAGGAUUGACGUAAUGAUUAAUAGGGAUAGUUGGGGGCAUUAGUAUUCAAUUGUCAGAGGUGAAAUUCUUGGAUUUAUUGAAGACUAACUACUGCGAAAGCAUUUGCCAAGGAUGUUUUCAUUAAUCAAGAACGAAAGUUAGGGGAUCGAAGACGAUCAGAUACCGUCGUAG